rnacentral:rRNA from 1 species
CAGCGAAACUGCGAAUGGCUCAUUAUAUAAGUUAUCGUUUAUUUGAUAGUACCUUACUACUUGGAUAACCGUGGUAAUUCUAGAGCUAAUACAUGCUAAAAAUCCCGACUCCGGAAGGGAUGUAUUUAUUAGAUUAAAAACCAAUGCCCUCUGGGCUCCUUGGUGAUUCAUAAUAACUUUUCGAAUCGCAUGGCCUUGCGCCGGCGAUGGUUCAUUCAAAUUUCUUCCCUAUCAACUUUCGAUGUUUGGGUAUUGGCCAAACAUGGUCGCAACGGGUAACGGAGGGUUAGGGCUCGACCCCGGAGAAGGAGCCUGAGAAACGGCUACUACAUCCAAGGAAGGCAGCAGGCGCGCAAAUUACCCAAUCCCGAUUCGGGGAGGUAGUGACAAUAAAUACUGAUACAGGGCUCUUUUGGGUCUUGUAAUUGGAAUGAGUACAAUUUAAAUCCCUUAACGAGGAACAAUUGGAGGGCAAGUCUGGUGCCAGCAGCCGCGGUAAUUCCAGCUCCAAUAGCGUAUAUUAAAGUUGUUGUGGUUAAAAAGCUCGUAGUUGAACCUUGGGCCUGGCUGGCCGGUCCGCCUCACCGCGUGCACUGGUCCGGCCGGGCCUUUCCCUCUGUGGAACCCCAUGCCCUUCACUGGGUGUGGCGGGGAAACAGGACUUUUACUUUGAAAAAAUUAGAGUGCUCCAGGCAGGCCUAUGCUCGAAUACAUUAGCAUGGAAUAAUGAAAUAGGACGUGUGGUUCUAUUUUGUUGGUUUCUAGGACCGCCGUAAUGAUUAAUAGGGACAGUCGGGGGCAUCAGUAUUCAAUUGUCAGAGGUGAAAUUCUUGGAUUUAUUGAAGACUAACUACUGCGAAAGCAUUUGCCAAGGAUGUUUUCAUUAAUCAGGAACGAAAGUUAGGGGAUCGAAGACGAUCAGAUACCGUCGUAGUCUUAACCAUAAACUAUGCCGACUAGGGAUCGGACGAUGUUAUUUUUUGACGCGUUCGGCACCUUACGAGAAAUCAAAGUG